AACGAACGCUGGCGGCAGGCCUAACACAUGCAAGUCGGGCGAGGACUUCGGUCCUAGCGGCGGACGGGUGAGUAACGCGUGGGAACGUGCCCUUUGCUUCGGAAUAGCCCUGGGAAACUGGGAGUAAUACCGGAUGAGCCCUUUGGGGGAAAGAUUUAUCGGCGAAGGAUCGGCCCGCGUUGGAUUAGGUAGUUGGUGGGGUAAUGGCCUACCAAGCCGACGAUCCAUAGCUGGUUUGAGAGGAUGAUCAGCCACACUGGGACUGAGACACGGCCCAGACUCCUACGGGAGGCAGCAGUGGGGAAUCUUAGACAAUGGGGGAAACCCUGAUCUAGCCAUGCCGCGUGAGCGAUGAAGGCCUUAGGGUUGUAAAGCUCUUUCAGCUGGGAAGAUAAUGACGGUACCAGCAGAAGAAGCCCCGGCUAACUCCGUG
rnacentral:rRNA from 1 species